GGAGGGUUGGCAGAAUUGGUGAAUGCGCCUGACUUGAAAUCAGGUGACCGCAAGGUCUGGGGGUUCGAGUCCCUCACCCUCCGCCA
rnacentral:tRNA from 2 species